GGAUGAUCUGAAAAUAUGCCUCCCCAGUGAACCCCAACCUUGGCUGGCAGAUCUGGCUGGCUACUGGGAGUUCCCUUUUCCUCUCCAUGGCUCCUGUGCAUCCCCCUCAAGACUGUGUGUAUAUUCCAAGAGGACUACAUUCCCAGGUGGGGCCGUAUUGUUCUUAUAACAAAGGCUUACAGCAUUUCCUUGAAUGUUGCAUCUAGUUUUAGCAUUUUGA
rnacentral:sRNA from 1 species